UGGCCUUAGACCUAGAGCUUCCGAACCCGCCU
rnacentral:piRNA from 1 species